CUAGCAAUUAUAUCUCUUCAUAAUAUCAAAGUUGAUGGCUUCAAGUUACCAUAUAGCCCGUCCCUUGUGCCCUUCAUAUCUCGACGUGUAAGACGCUACGAACUGUGUUACAUCUCAGACGAAUUUCCCAGUCUAUACGUGAAGACUCAAUCCACUUAACUCACUUCCCUCCAUUCAUCCUCCAUUCAACAUGGUUUGCAAUCUCGGUUUCAGUUAGGUACCUCGGAAUGGGAGUUGAUUGUGUCCGGCCUUAAUCAACCGAACAAGGGGGACAAAUGGGCAUGUAGAAGUCAUUCUCCAUUUUGCUCGUGACCCAAGUAAAAUUCAACCACCUUGAAACAGAUGUGAGAUCCUCAGUUGUUGGGGCCGAUGACUCUGAGAGCAUUGAUAUAACCCGCACUAGACCGUUUAAUCACAACCAGACAAACACCUUCACCAUGCAAUGACCUCCUACAGGUUGAUACGGAUAACUACGAAACAAGCCACAGUAUUGAGAUGGAUAUCACCUGAAAGCUUCAAGAAUGGCAUGUCGAUUGCUUGGUUGUAUCCACGCACUCAGGUAGCGAGCAGAAAAAUCAAACUUAAAGGCGAUUGAUUGAUCUUAUGUGUGCAGAGAGGGGUUAAAGUACGACUUUCUGCUUAAGACAUACUUACCUUCGGCAGAAUUGGGU
rnacentral:sRNA from 1 species